CUUGCUAUGAUGAGAUUAAACACUUGGAUAAUGUUUUGGGCAAUGGACGAGACCCCAAAGGCCUCACCGUGAGCUCAUUUUAUUAAAACGACUUCUCCCUCCACUGAGCUCU